rnacentral:rRNA from 1 species
UAGGGAAUCUUCCACAAUGGACGCAAGUCUGAUGGAGCAACGCCGCGUGAGUGAAGAAGGUUUUCGGACCGUAAAGCUCUGUUGUUGGUGAAGAAGGAUAGAGGUAGUAACUGGCCUUUAUUUGACGGUAAUCAACCAGAAAGUCGCGGCUAACUACGUGCCAGCAGCCGCGGUAAUACGUAGGUGGCAAGCGUUGUCCGGAUUUAUUGGGCGUAAAGCGAGCGCAGGCGGAAGAAUAAGUCUGAUGUGAAAGCCCUCGGCUUAACCGAGGAAUUGCAUCGGAAACUGUUUUUCUUGAGUGCAGAAGAGGAGAGUAGAACUCCAUGUGUAGCGGUGGAAUGCGUAGAUAUAUGGAAGAAUACCAGUGGCGAAGGCGGCUCUCUGGUCUGCAACUGACGCUGAGGCUCGAAAGCAUGGGUAGCGAACAGGAUUAGAUACCCUGGUAGUCCAUGCCGUAAACGAUGAGUGCUAAGUGUUGGGAGGCUUCCGCCUCUCAGUGCUGCAGCUAACGCAUUAAGCACUCCGCCUGGGGGAGUACGACCGCAAGGUUGAAAC